AGACAGAGACUAGUUUCGUUUUAGUUCUCAGCACCGAUCCAAAUCUGCAGAGCCAUGCCCAGGCUCCUUCCAGUUUCAGUUUCUAAACAGUUUCCAUUGGCUGAUCUGGUUGCUAUGUCUAUUCAUUGGCUGACCUUGUUACCAUGUCUUCCCAGUCAUGAAUAUUCUGACAGAUUUAGCUUCCAAACCCAUAAUCAUUCUUGCCUAUCUUCUCUGCUCUCUUACCAGUUCUUCAGCAUCCUUUUGAUAUUGUGUCAACCAGAACAGGAGACAGAAUUCCAGGUGUGGUCUGACCAGUGGUGCUAUCACUUCCCAUGAUCUGUUGAUGCAAAUCAGAACUGCAUUGGCUCUUUUUGUAGCUGUGGCACAGUGCUGACUCAUGCUUAACCUGUGGCCUACCAAGAUUACUGCUUCUUUCAAAUACUACUUGCAACCCAGAAUAAUUGUACAUUCCUAUCCCUGUCUACUGUUUAUCGAAAAAUAAGCCCUACGAAAUCUUCUGAAGUCUGCUACCAGUUCUGUGAGUCUGCUACUGAGUGCACGGUUUGCGCGCAUACAUGCCUGAGGUGCACCCACGCAGCAUUAAAAAAGUAACACUUUGAAGCCUUCUGAGACUGCAAAGGAUGGAAAACCACUAGGGUGUGACAAUCGAUUGGAAAGAGAAGACUUGUAACAAGAAGUGUCUUUGGGCAUUGCGGAACAGUCAGAUGCCACUGAUAGAAUUUACAGGACCAGAUCCCUUUCCUCCCAAGAAAUAUUAAAAAGAAAGAAAAAGAAAAAAAUAAACUGCAGAAAUGAUAUCUUCAAUCAGAAUAUACAAUGCAGAUCUUUAUUUUCCUCUGGAAUGACUGUCUUUUAUAAAUGUUAUCCAUCAUUUGUAAUGAGAGCUGUCAGGAAUAUUUAGCUGAAGAGAGGUACUUGGUAUGCUAAUAGAGGUCUCUUAGUGAAUUCAUUUAGUUCUGCUGCAUGACAUUAAUAGUCUUCGUAAUCUAAUGAAUGAUGUCUGUAACAGGAAGAGAUAAGACAGGGGAAAUGGCAUUCUGGAAUUAGUCAAGUUCCAUUCUCCAUUUCAGUUUAUUUGUUUUGGGGCAAAUUGGUAGUUUAAAAUAGUAGAAUAAAAUUUGACCUAUUCCUUUCACAGGGAAGUAUGAUUUAGAUUUUUGACAUAAUCUUGCGAGUUCUAUACUUUUUGGACCAUAGAUAAAAACUCCAAGUGCUUUCCUUCUGAUAUAGUAUACAAAUCUACUGGCUGUGAUCUUGAAAGAGUUGUUUGCUGUCUAAUAUCACCAAUAUAAUUUGACUAGAGAAAUAAGAUCCACACAAAGGCACAGCUUGUUCAAUCCACUCCAUUUGUCUUCACAAUGUUCUAUUGGGUAU